rnacentral:rRNA from 1 species
ACACGACUACAUUAGAUACCCGCGUAGUCCCAGCCGUAAACUAUGCGCGUUAGGUGUAUCGGUGACCACGAGUUACCGAGGUGCCGAAGGGAAACCGUGAAACGUGCCGCCUGGGAAGUACGGUCGCAAGGCUGAAACUUAAAGGAAUUGGCGGGGAGCACCACAACGGGUGGAGCCUGCGGUUUAAUUGGACUCAACGCCGGGAAGCUCACCGGAUAAGACAGCGGAAUGAUUGCCGGGCUGAAGACUCUGCAUGACUAGCUG